CGUAAAAGUGGCGCACGGGUGAGUAACACGUGGAUCAUCUACCUUUUAGUGGGGAAUACCUCUGGGAAACCGGAGACAAUACCGCAUAAGCCUGUAAAGGGAGAGCAGCAAUGCGCUGAAAGAGGAGUCCGCGGCCGAUUAGCUAGUUGGCGGGGUAAUGGCCCACCAAGGCGAAGAUCGGUAGCCGGCCUGAGAGGGCACACGGCCACACUGGCACUGAAACACGGGCCAG
rnacentral:rRNA from 1 species